CAGAACUAUUACGGAGGCUUCUCCUCCACUCAGAACAGCCUUCUGUGCAGCAACUACACGUAACAGCCUGUAAAUAACAGCUCAGCUGCAGUCUGUAAGUUUCUACCUGUGAUUUCUCUACUUUGUUUCUCUGAGAUCAUCUCUGUUAAACAGAUUUAACCUGUUUAACCUUUAUUUAACCAGGAAGUGAAGGUUAGAAACUCUUUGUGAGAGUGUGUUGAAGUGACACAGGCAGUUUGAACUUCAUGUCAACAUGAAUCCAUCCUGUAGGACACAGUGGAGGCUCUUCAGGCUCUCUGCUCCACCCUGGUGUUCAGUCCUGAAGGUUGGAGCACAGGGACAGUUCAGGCUCCAGCAGUCAGCUGACAUUUGAUCAGGGCAACAAACUGCUCCACCAGGAGGAGGCGCUGCAGGACGUGUCAGGAAAAUACAGGCUGGAGGUGAAGCUGCUUCAGUGCAGCUCAGUGACAGCAUCAUGUGACCAGGUCCUGGUUGGUGUCAAACAGGCUUUCUUUGUUUCUUUGUACUUAUAAAACGCUAAAGAAGCAUUUUCACAUGUAAUCAAUGUGUUUUCAUAGACAAUAUUAGAGCUGACAGUAAGAACUGCACACAGUACAAUUCUGUUUACACUAAAUUAAAAAUCAAUAAAGUCACUUUGUGUCUACAUGAGAAUCAGAGAAACUUUCUUCAUCCCAGAGGGAAACUGAGCUGUCGGAGCAGCAAACACACAACAAACAUCAGGCACUGAUAGAAAAUGAGAAACACAGAUAUUGAUGAUAAAUAUUAAGAUAAAUAGAUAAAUAUAGAGAUAUAAAUAUAAAAGUGUCACGGUGUAGAAAAGUGACAGCAGGCUGCACUGAGCUGUGAUUGGUUCUGUUUGUUUCCCAGAUUUGUGCACCUACAACAUCCCAACACCUGCUGAUGUCCCCACUCUCAGUGUGAAAGUCCACACAGAGGUGGAGCCCACAGGUGGAUCUGCCAGAGCCAGACUGACUGUGGAAAUCCAUCCCUGUAAGUAUGUGACAGGUUAGAGGAGAGUCUGUACCAGCGUGGAGUCACUGUGGGUGAUGAAGAGCAUGUGUGCACACACUGUUCAAACACAGCUACAGUGGGAAGGAGAAAACUACAAACAUGGUGGUCCUGGAUGUUCCCCACAGUGUGAGUCAUUAGACUCUACCAACACGUCAUGUGAUCACUGUGAUGAUGUCAUCUCCUCACAGCUCAAACGUGGCCUCCUGGUGAGUCGUGUUGAACCAAAGGAAGAUCCUGUUCUGGUGUCCUUAGAGGAGGUCAGAGACGUCCACAGUGGGGACACCAGAUGAUGAUCUUUGGUACAAACUGUGUCUGCGAUUGUUUCUGUCUCGUCCAGUUAUCAAAGGACACACCAUCAACCACAGAGA